rnacentral:piRNA from 1 species
UAGGUUUUGAGUGCUGAGUGGUCACAUA